ensembl:snRNA U6 U6 spliceosomal RNA
ACACAUGUAUUAAAUGUGUUUAUAGGUAAAUACAGGGAAGAUCAGCAUGGCCCCUCACAAGGACAACACACAAAUUUAUGAAGCAUUCCAAAUAAUA